rnacentral:misc_RNA from 1 species
AACGCACCUUGCGCUCCUUGGUAUUCCGAGGAGCAUGCCUGUUUGAGUGUCUUGAAAUUCUCAACCUCGGGGGUGCUCUUGUUAGCGCCCGCCGGGGCUUGGAUGUGGGGACCUUGCCGGCCGUUGCAGGCCGACUUCCCUGAAAUGCAUUAGCUCGAGGUUGACUCGGAGCGGUUCACGGCGUGAUAAGUAAAUGAACAUUACGUCCUGGUAAAUCCCGCCUCUGCUGUCUUAUUGGCCUCGGCUUCCAGACGUCUUCGGACAAAAUCAAACUAUGAAUAUGGCCUCAAAUCAGGCAGGACUACCCGCUGAACUUAA